rnacentral:rRNA from 1 species
CAGUGGGGAAUAUUGGACAAUGGGCGCAAGCCUGAUCCAGCCAUGCCGCGUGUGUGAAGAAGGUCUUCGGAUUGUAAAGCACUUUAAKUUGAGAGGAAAGUCCWGUMGACUAAUACUNUGCWRUUUUGACGUUACCSACAGAAUAAGCACCGGCUAACUCUGUGCCAGCAGCCGCGGUAAUACAGAGGGUGCAAGCGUUAAUCGGAAUUACUGGGCGUAAAGCGCGCGUAGGUGGUUUGUUAAGUSKGAUGUGAAAUCCCCGGGCUCAACCUGGGAACUGCAKUCAAAACUGACDACUAGAGUAUGGUAGAGGGWGSUGGAAUYUCCKGUGUAGCGGUGAAAUGCGUAGAUAUAGGAAGGAACACCAGUGGCGAAGGCGACCACCUGGACUACACUGACACUGAGCGCGAAGC